rnacentral:rRNA from 2 species
AACGCUAGCGGCGCGCCUAACGCAUGCAAGUCGAGCGGGAAAGCCGGCUUCGGCCCCAGUGGGACCGCGGCAGACGGGUGAGUAACACGUGAGUAACCUAAAGUCCUCGGGUCUGGGAUAACCACCCGAAAGGGGGGUGGCUAAUACCGGAUAAAGUCACCGGGCGCAAGCUCGGUGCCAUGAUGAAAGGAGGGCUCUGAUAGCGCAAAAGCUCCGGCCUGAGAGGGGCUGCGGCCCAUCAGCUAAGUUGGUGGGGUAGACGGGCACCAAGGCUAUGACGGGGUAGCCGGCCUGAGAGGGUGGUGGGCCACACGGGCAUUGAGACACGGGCGCGACUCCUACGGGAGGCAGCAGGGGGGAAUCUUGGGCAAUGGGCGGAAGCCUGACCCAGCGACGGCGCGUGGCGGGAAGAAGGUUUCUUCGGGUCGUAAAACCCCUGUUCUGGGGGGAGACCCUGGCUGGGUAAGAGCCCAGUCGGCUGACGGUACCCCAGGGAGAAAGCCACGGCUAACUGCG